AUUGAACGCUGGCGGCAGGCCUAACACAUGCAAGUCGAACGGUAACAGGAAGAAGCUUGCUUCUUUGCUGACGAGUGGCGGACGGGUGAGUAAUGUCUGGGAAACUGCCUGAUGGAGGGGGAUAACUACUGGAAACGGUAGCUAAUACCGCAUAACGUCGCAAGACCAAAGAGGGGGACCUUCGGGCCUCUUGCCAUCGGAUGUGCCCAGAUGGGAUUAGCUUGUUGGUGGGGUAACGGCUCACCAAGGCGACGAUCCCUAGCUGGUCUGAGAGGAUGACAAGCCACACUGGAACUGAGACACGGUCCAGACUCCUACGGGAGGCAGCAGUGGGGAAUAUUGCACAAUGGGCGCAAGCCUGAUGCAGCCAUGCCGCGUGUAUGAAGAAGGCCUUCGGGUUGUAAAGUACUUUCAGCGGGGAGGAAGGGAGUAAAGUUAAUACCUUUGCUCAUUGACGUUACCCGCAGAAGAAGCACCGGCUAACUCCGUG
rnacentral:rRNA from 1 species